CCGGCUAACUACUUACCCGUACCCGCGGUCAUCCUUAGGGCGCAAGCUUUAUCCGUAUUCACUGGGUGUUAGGUGCGAGCAGGCGGGCCGCUGAAGUUGGAAGUGUAUUCUAUGUGCUUUAUCCUAUAAACUGCUUUCAAAAACUGCUACUCUUUACUGAUGAAAACGCACGCGGUAUUCCGUUUCUAUCGGUAACAUGCGAAUAUAUACGGAGCACCACAAAUGCCGAAUGGCGGCCUGCUGGACACUUGACUGACGCUGACGCUCGAAAGCGUGGGGAGCAGAUCAGGAUUAGAUACCCUGAUACUCCACGCCCUAAACGAUGAAUACUAGGUGUGGGAUGUUUUAUCCCCUAUCCGUGCCGCAGUUAACAAAAUAAAUAUCCCCCCUCGGGGGUACCGCCCCCAAGGUUGAUACUCAAAGAAAUUUUCGGGGGCCCGCACAAGAACUGGAGUAUGUGUUUUAUUUCGAAGCAACGCGAAGAACCUUUCCAGCUCUUUUCAUCCCGAUAACCGGUUUAGAGAUGAGCCUUUUCCUCGGGACAUCUGAGAAAAGGUGGUGCAUGGUUGUCGUCAGCUCGUGUCGUGAGAUGUUGGGUUAAGCCCCGCAACGAGCGCAACCCCUAUCCCCAGUAGCCAGCAUUUAAUGUGGGCACUUUUAGGAAACUGCCAGCGAUAACCUGUAGGAAGGCGGGGAUGACGUCAAAUCAUCAUCCCCCUUAUCGAUUUGGGCUAAACACGUGCUAAAAUGGCGUAAACAAGAGGGAAUGCGUGAUCCCGCGAGGGUGGGCAUAAUCCCAAAAAUAACGUCCCAGUUCGGAUUGUAUUCUGCAACCCGCCUACAGGAAGUUGGAAUCGUUAGUAAUCGCGGAUCAGAAUGCCGCGGUGAAUACGUUCCCGGGCCUUGUACACACCGC
rnacentral:rRNA from 1 species